UACGUAGGGGGCAAGCGUUGUCCGGAUUUAUUGGGCGUAAAGAGCGUGUAGGCGGCCAGACAGGUCCGUUGUGAAAACUCGAGGCUCAACCUCGAGACGCCGAUGGAAACCAUUUGGCUAGAGUCCGAAAGAGGAGAGUGGAAUUCCUGGUGUAGCGGUGAAAUGCGCAGAUAUCAGGAAGAACACCCGUGGCUAAGGCGGCUCUCUAGUACGGUACUGACGCUGAGACGCGAAAGCGUGGGGAGCGAACAGG
rnacentral:rRNA from 1 species